CCUACGGGAGGCAGCAGUGAGGAAUAUUGGUCAAUGGUCGGGAGACUGAACCAGCCAAGCCGCGUGAGGGAUGAAGGUACAGAGUAUCGUAAACCUCUUUUGUCAGGGAACAAAGGCGGGGACGCGUCCCCGGAUGAGUGUACCUGAAGAAAAAGCAUCGGCUAACUCCGUGCCAGCAGCCGCGGUAAUACGGAGGAUGCGAGGGUUAGCCGGAUUUAUUGGGUUUAAAGGGUGCGCAGGCGGUCUGUUAAGUCAGCGGUAAAAGCCCGGGGCGCAACCCCGGCCCGCCGUUGAAACUGGCAGUCUCGAGUUGGAGAGAAGUAUGCGGAAUGCGCGGUGUAGCGGUGAAAUGCAGAGAUAUCGCGCAGAACUCCGAUUGCGAAGGCAGCAUGCCGGCUCCACACUGACGCUGAGGCACGAAAGCGUGGGUAUCGAACAGGAUUAGAUACCCGUGUAGUC
rnacentral:rRNA from 1 species